UACGAAGGGGGCUAGCGUUGUUCGGAAUUACUGGGCGUAAAGCGCGCGCAGGCGGUCUUCCAAGUCAGUGGUGAAAGCCCGGAGCUCAACUCCGGAACUGCCAUUGAAACUGUUAGACUUGAGGACGAGAGAGGUGAGUGGAAUUCCCAGUGUAGAGGUGAAAUUCGUAGAUAUUGGGAAGAACACCGGUGGCGAAGGCGGCUCACUGGCUCGUAUCUGACGCUCAGGCGCGACAGCGUGGGGAGCAAACAGG
rnacentral:rRNA from 1 species